rnacentral:ncRNA from 1 species
CAAAGGUUUGGUCCCAGCCUUCCUAUUGACCUUUAAUAGACUUACACAUGCAAGCAUCCGCAUCCCAGUGAAAAUGCCCUCCAAGUUAAUAAGACUAAGAGGAGCUGGUAUCAAGCACACACCCGUAGCUCAUGACACCUUGCUUAGCCACACCCCCACGGGAGACAGCAGUGAUAAAAAUUAAGCCAUGAACGAAAGUUUGACUAAGCCAUAUUAAUUAGGGUUGGUAAAUUUCGUGCCAGCCACCGCGGUCAUACGAUUAACCCAAGUUAAUAGGCAUACGGCGUAAAGCGUGUUAAAGCAACAUAUAAAAAUAGAGUUAAACUUUAAUUAAGCUGUAAAAAGCCAUAAUUAUUAACGAAAAUAAAUAACGAAAGUAACUUUACAAUCGCUGAAACAUGAUAGCUAAGACCCAAACUGGGAUUAGAUACCCCACUAUGCUUAGCCCUAAACACAAAUAGUUAUAAUAACAAAACUGUUCGCCAGAGUACUACCGGCAAUAGCUUAAAACUCAAAGGACUUGGCGGUGCUUUAUAUCCCUCUAGAGGAGCCUGUUCUAUAAUCGAUAAACCCCGAUAUACCUCACCACCCCUUGCUAAUGCAGUCUAUAUACCGCCAUCUUCAGCAAACCCUAAAAAGGAGCAAAAGUAAGCAUAAUCAUAAUACAUAAAAACGUUAGGUCAAGGUGUAACCUAUGGAGUGGGAAGAAAUGGGCUACAUUUUCUAAUUUAAGAAAACUUAAUACGAAAGUUAUUAUGAAAUUAAUAACCAAAGGAGGAUUUAGCAGUAAACUAAGAAUAGAGUGCUUAGUUGAACUAGGCAAUGAAGCACGCACACACCGCCCGUCACCCUCCUCAAAUAAGCACAAUACGCUUAAAUUUAUUAGUAUGUAUAAACUGUAUGAGAGGAGACAAGUCGUAACAAGGUAAGCAUACUGGAAAGUGUGCUUGGAUAAAU